GAUGAACGCUGGCGGCGUGCCUAAUACAUGCAAGUCGAGCGAACAGACGAGGAGCUUGCUCCUCUGACGUUAGCGGCGGACGGGUGAGUAACACGUGGAUAACCUACCUAUAAGACUGGGAUAACUUCGGGAAACCGGAGCUAAUACCGGAUAAUAUAUUGAACCGCAGGGUGCAAUAGUGAAAGACGGUUUUGCUGUCACUUAUAGAUGGAUCUGCGCCGCAUUAGCUAGUUGGUAAGGUAACGGCUUACCAAGGCAACGAUGCGUAGCCGACGUGAGAGCGUGAUCGGCCACACUGGAGCUGAGACACGGUCCUGACUCCUACGGGAGGCCCCAGUAGGGAAUGGUCCGCAAUGGGCGGAAGCCUGACGGAGCAGCGCCGCGUGAGUGAUGAAGGUCUUCGGAUCGUAAAACUCUCUUAUGAGGGAAAAACAAAUGUGUAAGUAACUAUGCACUUCGUGACGGUACCUAAUCAGAAAGCCACGGCUAACUACGUG
rnacentral:rRNA from 1 species